CUGGUUCUGUCUGGUUCUAUCUGGUUCUGUCUGGUUCUAUCAAGUUCUAUCUGGUUCUGUCUGGUGCUGUCUGGUUCUAUCUGGUUCAGUCUGGUUCUGUCAGGUUCUAUCUGGUUCUGUCAGGUUUUAUCAGGUUCUGUCUGGUUCUAUCAGGUUCUAUCUGGU